rnacentral:rRNA from 1 species
AUUGAACGCUGGCGGCAGGCCUAACACAUGCAAGUCGAGCGGAUGAAGGGAGCUUGCUCCUGGAUUCAGCGGCGGACGGGUGAGUAAUGCCUAGGAAUCUGCCUGGUAGUGGGGAUAACGUCCGGAAACGGGCGCUAAUACCGCAUACGUCCUGAGGGAGAAAGUGGGGGAUCUUCGGACCUCACGCUAUCAGAUGAGCCUAGGUCGGAUUAGCUAGUUGGUGGGGUAAAGGCCUACCAAGGCGACGAUCCGUAACUGGUCUGAGAGGAUGAUCAGUCACACUGGAACUGAGACACGGUCCAGACUCCCACGGGAGGCAGCAGUGGGGAAUAUUGGACAAUGGGCGAAAGCCUGAUCCAGCCAUGCCGCGUGUGUGAAGAAGGUCUUCGGAUUGUAAAGCACUUUAAGUUGGGAGGAAGGGCAGUAAGUUAAUACCUUGCUGUUUUGACGUUACCAACAGAAUAAGCACCGGCUAACUUCGUG